AGAGUUUGAUCCUGGCUCAGGACGAACGCUGGCGGCGUGCCUAACACAUGCAAGUCGAGCGAUGAAGUUUCCUUCGGGAAACGGAUUAGCGGCGGACGGGUGAGUAACACGUGGGUAACCUGCCUUAUAGUGGGGGAUAGCCUUUCGAAAGGAAGAUUAAUACCGCAUAAGAUUGUAGUAUCGCAUGAUAUAGCAAUUAAAGGAGCAAUCCGCUAUAAGAUGGACCCGCGUCGCAUUAGCUAGUUGGUGAGGUAAUGGCUCACCAAGGCGACGAUGCGUAGCCGACCUGAGAGGGUGAUCGGCCACAUUGGGACUGAGACACGGCCCAGACUCCUACGGGAGGCAGCAGUGGGGAAUAUUGCACAAUGGGCGAAAGCCUGAUGCAGCAACGCCGCGUGAGUGAUGACGGCCUUCGGGUUGUAAAACUCUGUCUUCAGGGACGAUAAUGACGGUACCUGAGG
rnacentral:rRNA from 1 species